AACAGCCACAACAAAUUACAGCGGAUUUCACAUCAGGAGGACGGCCCAAAUCCGGCAGUUGAAGAUUUGCACCAGAGCUGCGGUUGGAGUCAAGAAGGUAGGCUCAAUUGGAGGCCCAUUGGAGCUGAGCGGGGGAGGGCAAGACUUCCUGGGUCUGAGGCCCCCUGCGACGGGCGGCCUUGAAUGGGGACCGAGACGACUUCACAUGAGCGACGCCUGGAGUGAGGCCUUAAUCGACGCCUGAAUAAACACCUGGAGAGGUUCCACCAGCUUUGACGGACAUUUCCCCUUUUGAACUCCAAUCCUGGAAGAUUUCCCAAUAUACCUGAAACUCCUAGUUUUGUUUUUUACUUGAUAACAUCAGAAAGGUACAACAACAACAACUUGGAUUUAUAUAGCGCCCUCCACGCCGGACAGCGUCUCAGAGUGCUUCAAUAUAUCUUGACUGGCCAGAGGAACAAACCUUCUGAGUCAAGAGUUGGUUCAGUGCACAUACAUCAACCUCAUAUUUAAUAAGCUGUUAGCUAGCAUUUUUUUAAGUUGAUUAGUUAUUUGUGUAAUUCAUUAUUAUUUGUUGAAAUCACUUUCAACUAUUUCCGAGGAAUUUGGAUUCUGAACGAACCAUACAAAUACCGUCGAGUUUUCUUAACCAUUUCUUAAUUCAAGCUCUCUGUUAAUUUACAAUAUAAGAGGGAUUAACACAAACAUGUUCAGCCUAGGUCAAAGAGGUAUUCAAAUAUAAACCUCUUAUUGACUGAAGCUUCCCAGUUUGCAUCGACUAAUAGUCGAUCUGGUAGCAAGAAACACUGAGCGAUAAGUUCUUGCAUUAGUAAGAACUGAUUACAGAGGUCACCAAGUACACUGCAAGGGGGGAGUGAGCCAUAUCGUGGAGAUACAAAAUAAUAAUCCCUCCAAAACCAAAAACAAUAAUAAAUUGGU